UUGCUGGCUUCCUGCAGGCUCUCGACUGAACCUAGUCUUUGAAGAGAAGACAGUGAGUCCGAACAACCUCAAAGGGCCCCUGAAGGCGAGAGCCCCGCUCAGGAAGUGCCUUCGCAGCCCUGUAAGUCCUGGCUUCUGAAGCUUUGAACGUGGAGUGAGCCACAGGUUGCAGCCCAGCUGGAGAGGCCUGAUAAAGGAAAUUGGUCCAGUGGGAGCUAAUAGAGGAGAAUUGGGUAGACACAAGGCUGGGCUUGGCUCUGAGGUCCUGGCGAUUCCAGGAUUCCAUAGCAUGUCCGUGGUGGAACAGGAGGUCACCCGGCUAUCCAGAUACCACUUUAACUGAUGUCAACACUUCAAGCUCCUCCAGAUUCCGAGGGUCUGCAGAGAAGCAGUGAACCCAGGUACAAUGAUCAGAAUUUGUCUUUGUGAUGGGCCCACGCCUUCCAACAGGGACGUUGGACCUUAGUGAUCUUGAGCCAUUCAUGUGCCGUGUGCUGGCGGGGCGGUGGGGAAGCGGGUGGUGACUGGUGGGAGUCAUUAGUGCUAUGAUUCCACUCCCUCUGUGUCUCCUUCUCAGGGUUGGAUUGUGCUUCCCAGCUCCCUUGAAGAUGGAUGUGGCUGUGUGACUUGCUUUGAUGGAUGAAAUGUGAGCAGAAGGGACACAUUCCAUUUCUGGUGGAAGCCAUGCCAUUCUUUUUCUGUGCUGUGGAAAAUAUCAGUUCUCCAGUUGGUGGCAGCUGUGCUAGCCUGGGUCCUACCUGACCUAUGGUGGAUGAGCAGCCAGUGAGAGAUAAAUCUUAGUGGUUUUAAGCCACUGAGGUUUUGAGAGUAUCUGUUAAUGCAGCAUAAUCUAACUUAUACCGACAGAAACAUGGAUAAUCAGGUUGAUGAAUUCUGAUUAAUGUAUCACUCAGCUAAUGUGCUGUGCAUCCCAGGGAACCAAAUUCAUUAACCUAAUUAAAGUACACAUAAUUUACAAAAUUGAGUCCUUGUGGUCGGCACUGCAAGUAUUACAAGCUCAUUAUGGGUGGGAGGAGUUUGAGAAGUGGCUUGAGAUUGGUGAAACCCUAUUGCUUGUUCUGUCAGGUUUAGAGACUCCCUCAAGACACCUGGGGAAUGGCGUGGGCCAGGUGUUUAUUCUUAGUUCUCUAAUGAGUCUAUGCAAACAGCCCCCCCCCCCUUUACCCUCAUCUAUCCAAGCUGCAGAAACACUUAACAUCAUAGACUACUUCAGUAAAGAGGAGAAGUGAGCCUGGUGUGGUAGCCCAUACCAGUAAUCCCAGCUACUGGGGAGGCUGAGGCCUUGGCAACU
rnacentral:lncRNA from 1 species